rnacentral:rRNA from 1 species
GACGAACGCUGGCGGCGUGCUUAACACAUGCAAGUCGAGCGGAAAGGCCACUUCGGUGGUACUCGAGCGGCGAACGGGUGAGUAACACGUGAGUAAUCUGCCCCUGGCUUUGGGAUAGCCACCGGAAACGGUGAUUAAUACCGGAUACGACCACUUCUCGCAUGGGAUGGCGGAGGAAAGUUUUUUCGGCCAGGGAGGUGCUCGCGGCCUAUCAGCUUGAUGGUGAGGUAAUGGCUCACCAUGGCUUCGACGGGUAGCGGGCCUGAGAGGGUGACCGGUCACACUGGGACUGAGACACGGCCCAGACUCCUACGGGAGGCAGCAGUGGGGAAUAUUGGACAAUGGGCGGAAGCCUGAUCCAGCAACGCCGCGUGAGGGAUGACGGCCUUCGGGUUGUAAACCUCUUUCAGCAGGGACGAAGCGCAAGUGACGGUACCUGCAGAAGAAGCACCGGCCAACUACGUGCCAGCCGCCGCGGUAA